AUUGAACGCUGGCGGCAUGCCUUACACAUGCAAGUCGAACGGUAACGGGCCUUCGGGUGCCGACGAGUGGCGAGCGGGUGCGUAAUACAUCGGAACGUGCCCGAUCGUGGGGGAUAACGAGGCGAAAGCUUUGCUAAUACCGCAUACGAUCUACGGAUGAAAGCAGGGGACCGCAAGGCCUUGCGCGGACGGAGCGGCCGAUGGCAGAUUAGGUAGUUGGUGGGAUAAAAGCUUACCAAGCCGACGAUCUGUAGCUGGUCUGAGAGGAUGAUCAGCCACACUGGGACUGAGACACGGCCCAGACUCCUACGGGAGGCAGCAGUGGGGAAUUUUGGACAAUGGGCGCAAGCCUGAUCCAGCCAUGCCGCGUGCAGGAUGAAGGCCUUCGGGUUGUAAACUGCUUUUGUACGGAACGAAAAGCCUUCUUUUAAUACAGGAGGGUCAUGACGGUACCGUAAGAAUAAGCACCGGCUAACUACGUG
rnacentral:rRNA from 1 species